CCCAGUCCAUAGUCACCUGCAAUGUGAAGCAUGUUUCUGUGGACAAUGGAGCAGCCCCUAUCAUAAAAUCUGUGUCCAGAGCAACUGAAACAGUAUCAGCUCUGAAUUGCAAUGAGGAAGGUGAGGAAGAAGAUGAGCUUGGCAGUCUGUGGUCCACCACCUCCUCCUUCAUCACUCUCUUCCUCUGCACUCUCAUCUACAGCACCCUCCUCAGUUUGAUCAAGAUGAAGCAGUGAUGUGCUGUACAGUGCAACACCUAGAAGAUGGGAUGAAAGCUUAUUUUGUAUUAAUAGUUACAUGUCAAAAGUGUGUUGUAUAGAUGAUUGUGUCAUGUUUUCUUGAGCUGAAUCUCUCUGUUUUUUCCAUUCCACUGUGCCUAUAUUUAGAUUUCUUUCAUUACCUAAUGAGUGAAAUGUCUGUAUGAAUCCUGUUUAUACCAGUGUUUUCUGUGGACGCAGAGUGAAAGAGCUCAGCAGAUGGGAGCCCACGGUUGGGAGGAGAGUGUGGGCUGGCUUGUGUGCGCAUCCUCCAUUUCACACAGAAGUAGCGUAUCAUAAUAAAUAAUUACAGUGUUAUUGGUCUUGAGAUUUUACCUCUUACAAUAAAUAAGCCAGUGACUUUCCAUUUGAAAUACAUGCCACACAAAUGGCAUGUAUUUCACAUCAUAUUUCUCAAGAAGUUAGUGAAUAUUUUCAUAAGCUCUAAAAGAUUAAAGAGAAGCGUUGGUCCUUAAAAAUCUCUCAGUGUCUGAAAUGCUGUUUCUGAUGUGUAGAGCUGGCGUGAGUGCAGUGUACAGGGCUGCAGACGGAGGUGUGCUCUGUAUAUUUAACCAGACUCAGAGUGAAAGCUGCAUAUCAGAGUUUAGCAGAGCUAAGGCUUCACAGUCAAACCUGAAAACUCUCAUCAUAUUGCGUGUCACUCUCAGCUAACAUGUGGUAUUUGUGUAAAAUGCAUGAAAUGUAAUGAAAAAAGCAUAAAUAAAUGUCCAGUCAU